rnacentral:rRNA from 1 species
UACGUAGGGACCAAGCGUUGUCCGGAAUCAUUGGGCGUAAAGAGCGUGUAGGCGGCCAAACAGGUCAGCUGUGAAAACUCGAGGCUCAACCUCGAGACGUCGGUUGAAACCGUUUGGCUAGAGUCCGGAAGAGGAGAGUGGAAUUCCCGGUGUAGCGGUGAAAUGCGCAGAUAUCGGGAAGAACACCCGUGGCGAAGGCGGCUCUCUGGGACGGUACUGACGCUGAGACGCGAAAGCGUGGGGAGCGAACAGG